UGAGCAAAGUCAUUUCACUUCUCCGAGCCUU
rnacentral:piRNA from 1 species